rnacentral:misc_RNA from 1 species
GAAAUGCGAUAAGUAAUGUGAAUUGCAGAAUUCAGUGAAUCAUCGAAUCUUUGAACGCAUCUUGCGCCCUUUGGUAUUCCUUGGGGCACACCUGUUUGAGUGUCAUGUACAUCUCGACUAGCUAUUUUUUGUAGUUAGCUCGGUUUUGGAGAGUUGCCGGUUGAUUUGACCGGCUCUUUCUUGAAUUCAUUAGUCAAUGUCUUAACUGCAUGUAUUGGUGUAGCAAAGCUUUCGCCGCAUAUACUGUGGUAUUAUAAGACAGAUUGGCUCUCUAAAGUCCAAAUUUGUGUUUUUGACCUCAAAUCAGGUGGGACUACCCGCUGAACUUAA